rnacentral:rRNA from 1 species
UACGAAGGGGGCUAGCGUUGCUCGGAAUCACUGGGCGUAAAGGGUGCGUAGGCGGGUCUUUUAAGUCAGGGGUGAAAUCCUGGAGCUCAACUCCAGAACUGCCUUUGAUACUGAAGAUCUUGAGUUCGGGAGAGGUGAGUGGAACUGCGAGUGUAGAGGUGAAAUUCGUAGAUAUUCGCAAGAACACCAGUGGCGAAGGCGGCUCACUGGCCCGGUACUGACGCUGAGGUGCGAAAGCCAGGGGAGCAAACGGG